GCCAGUGUGACAUAGUGGUUUGAGAGAUGGACUAUGACUCUGGAGAUCAGGGUUCGAAUCCCAGCUUGGCCA
rnacentral:tRNA from 1 species